CUCACGCCCUAGGCGCUGCUUCUAGGGUUCUUCGCGGCUAUGGCGGCAGCGGCAGCGGCGAGCGCCAUCUUGGCCGGCAUUGCAGCAACUGGACACUUGGACAAGGAAAGCCUGGCCAUGUUGCAGUUCCUGUACCAGAGGAAUUUGGCGAGGGCUCUGCGCAUACUGGACAUGGAAGGCGUGAAGCGCAUUACUGGCCAAAAUUCCAAGCGCUCCAUCUUUGUGGUUCGUGGAGAGACCGACAAGAGUGAUCAACACUUGUGCCUGCUCAAGCCCCACUUCUGCUCGUGUCCAUCUUUCUUCUUCGAUGUUGUGGUCCGCCACCAGCAUCUCUGCUGCAAGCACCAGCUGGCCGCAAGUCUCGCAGAGGCACUGAGAAUUUGCAAGGACCAAACGGUUAGUGACCAAGAGCUGGCCAUCCUGCUUUUGGAGAAAAGAAGCAAGAGGAAUCGUCGUCAAGUGCACUACGCUCUGCAAGAGAAAUGAUCCUCAUGGAUGGAUUCCUUGCUUCUUUUGCUGCAAAGCUUUUUCUCCAGGCCAGAUAAAGAGCCCAGCUUGUCCAGCGACAGGCUCCGUGCCGUUUGAAAAAAAUGUGCGACACUCUCUUCCGGGGUGCCAACCAAGACGCCGUGUCCCAGAUUGAGGAUGUGACCCUUGUUUCCAGCCUUUCUCACGACGCUGCAAAAACAAUACGCAAGGUGUUAGUCACUGCAAGACACAAGGAGAACUUACUCGACCACGGCUUCGGUGAUCGACCAUUCCGGACCGAAAAGAACGCAGGGAUCCACAUUUCCCUGGACAGCCACGGAAUCUCCCAGCCUCUUUCGACCAUCCAGCAUGUCUACUGUCCAAUCCAGGCCGAUGACAUGAGCUCCGGUGUCACUCAUUCUUUCCAGGAGGCCCCCGUUUCCAUUCGCAUAGAGGACGAUCGGAACUCCAGGACACUUGUCCUUGACAGUCCUGAUCAUCUGCGAAAAAGAAAGAGAGAAAAAAAGAAGUCUUUUGGGAAGAACUAGAAAAGAACGAUUAAAAAGAAAGGUUACCUUGCAAAUA